GAUAACUGGUGGACACGGAGACUGAAACAAACUCAUAGAGUGUGUGCUUGUGUGGCAUAAGCUUCUUCUUUCGUUAAUGAGACUGGAGUUUUACGACAGCACUACAUUU